rnacentral:tRNA from 1 species
CAGCCAACAUGGAAAAGGCGUCUAACUUUGGAUCAGAAGAUUCCAGGUUCGAGUCCUGGCGGGUCGU